rnacentral:rRNA from 1 species
UCCGGUGGCUAUAGCGUGGGGGUCACACCCGAUCCCAUCCCGAACUCGGCAGUUAAGCCCCACAGCGCCGAUGGUACUGCACCAGUGAUGGUGUGGGAGAGUAGGACGCCGCCGGAU